GAUCAGGGCUCAGGAUGAACGCUAGCUACAGGCUUAACACAUGCAAGUCGAGGGGCAGCAUGGUCUUAGCUUGCUAAGGCCGAUGGCGACCGGCGCACGGGUGAGUAACACGUAUCCAACCUGCCGUCUACUCUUGGACAGCCUUCUGAAAGGAAGAUUAAUACAAGAUGGCAUCAUGAGUCCGCAUGUUCACAUGAUUAAAGGUAUUCCGGUAGACGAGUGGGGAGUG
rnacentral:rRNA from 1 species